GUCAGAUUUCUUUAUGAAAUCUGGGUGGGAUUGUAUUUGGGUCAUCUGGGGUAAAAAUCUAGGUCAAAUAAAUAGAAAAACCUUGUGUUGACAAUAGAGGUCACAGUUUUCAUCCAAUAUUUAUGAACUGUGGUCAGAAUGUUAAUCUUGAUGAAAUCUGGAUUGGGAUUGUAUUUGGGUCAUCUAGAGUCAGGAACUAGGUCACUAGGUCAAAUCAUAGACAAACAUUGUGUAGACAAUAGAGGUCAUAGUUUUCAUCUGAUCUUAAUGAGUCAGGUGAGCAAUUCAGGGCCAUCAUUGCCCUCUUGUUUUAAUUCUUCCCCACUUCGAGAACAGGGCCGGGGCCUUUCAGAUUGGGAAAAGUCGCGUCGUUUUUUUUUUACUUAAAUUGUGAAAUUGGUGUUGUAUUUGUUUGCUUACAAAUUUUAAUAAAAGUCACCAAGUGAAUGAAAAGUUUGAAGCACUCACAGUUAAAUGUUUUAGUGUAAUGUGAUAUCUUAGAACCCGUAUAUAAUACCUAGAAUAUACUUUCAUUUGGAUCGACUUUUUAAGUUUUUUACAUUCUAUUAAUUAUCCUUAUACCCAGUAUUCAUUCCAUGAAAAUUACUGCACUCUCGAACACAAACCCACACAAACCCAUAGGUAGAUAUCAAUUUCAUUUUGUGCAAAAAGCCAAUGUACACUAAAUAGCACCCGCUUUUAAACACAUAUUUUAAAAUAAAGACAAAUAGAAUAAAAAUUAUGAUAAAUGUGCACAUUUUUGUUUAACAUUAUAACAUGAAAACCUGUAAUCACAAAUUAAUUCUGUUAAAAUCUAUUCAAACACAUACUAAAUUACAGGCAUUUAAAAACACACGAAGGAUACCGCACAAGCUAAUCUGGGACGACACUUCACGCACAUUCAAUAAAACCGUUUCAUAGAGCGCGGUUUCUACACAUGUACGGGCCGCUUUAUAGCAAUCGCAGUUUUGUUUUAAGUAUCACUUGUCAUUUCAACUAAGACUAAGGGCGUAAAUGGUACAACGGCCGGAACGCACAAGGCUGUAUUGUUUAUUUCGCUUACAACCCACUUGUUACUAUAAUCUUUGACUAGGAAGUCUUAAACAUUCCACCAAUCCCAACCGUCAAAGUGGUGUACGUGCGAAUGGAAACGUUCGACAAGUUUAGCCAUCUUGCAGUAGGUUAAGUGCAGAGGAGUGAAAUUGGUUGGCGAACGGUGACAAGCUUCUAUCAUCGACGAGAAAAAAUAUCCUAUAUUCAUGGACGUCUGCAAGAAGGCAUUGUAAAAAGCUGCUAGGUAAACUACCGGCCUGAUCAGUUAAAGUCAUGCCGAAACGGCUCAAAAACAAACUCUAAUCGCCAGGCCCAGGAGGCGAACUGUGUCAAUGGCUGACCAAGGCAUCAGAUGUGAUGAACCAGGCGAGUUCCCUAAACAGGUAAGUGUGUCCAGCAGUCACGCUUGAGUAAGACGGUCCAGUUUGUUUCCAUUAAAACGAUGAUUAAUUGUAUUGAUAUAUAAACACA